AAAGCUACGGCGCUUUAUGAGGGGCCUGCGGCCCAUCAGCUACUUGGUAGGGUAACGGCCUACCAAGGGCAACAGACGGGUAGGGGGUGUGAGAGCACGGCCCCCCACAAGGGGACUGGAACACGGCCCAUACUCCUACGGGAGGCAGCAGCAGGGAAUAUUGCGCAAUGGGCGAAAGCCUGACGCAUCGACGCCGCGUGAGUGAAGACUGCUUUCGAGUUGUAGAACUCUUUUCUGGGGGAAGAGGAAGGACGGUACCCGAGGAAUAAGCGUCGGCUAACUACGUGCCAGCAGCCGCGGUAAGACGUAGGACGCGAGCGUUAUCCGGAUUUACUGGGCGUAAAGCGCCUGUAGGCGGCUUUGUAAGUUGGGCGUGAAAGCCCCGUGCUUAACGCGGGGAGGCCGUUCAAUACUGCGGAGCUAGAGUACGGCAGAGGGGAGUGGAAUUCCUGGAGUAGCGGUAAAAUGCGCAGAUAUCAGGAGGAACACCAGUGGCGAAGGCGGGUCCCUGGGCCGAGACUGACGCUCAGAGGCGAAAGCUAGGGGAGCGAACAGGAUUAGAGACCCUGGUAGUCCUAGCCCUAAACGAUGGAUGCUAGGUGUGGGGAAGAGGAGUUUCCGCGCCGGAGCAAACGCGAUAAGCAUCCCGCGUGGGGACUACGGCCGCAAGGUUAAAACUCAAACGAAUUGACGGGGGCCCGCACAAGCAGCGGAGCGUGUGCUUUAAUUCGAUGCUACACGAAGAACCUUACCUGGGUUUCACAUGUAGGUGGUAGCGAGGCGAAAGCUGAGCGACCAUUCGGGGAGCCUACGCAGGUGCCGCAUGGCAGUCGUCAGCUCGUGCCGUGAGGUCUCGGGUUAAGUCCCGUAACGAGCGCAACCCUUGCUCCUAGUUAUACGUGUCUAGGGGGACUGCCGGCGGGAAGCCGGAGGAAGGUGGGGAUGACGUCAAGUCAGCAUGGCCCUUAUGUCCAGGGAUA
rnacentral:rRNA from 1 species